AUGUACCGGCGGUACCACAAUGUGCACUUCCGUUCUCCAGAUGGCCAUGGUGAUGAUAAUGCGUAUGACAAUGGGGGACUAGUCAUUGACUUGAAGGAGAAAGUUGUCGGAAUGGUCAACCUCCCUAAGAGAUUUGGGUCUUUUAUACCGUCUUCCAUUUUGCUCAAUUGUUUGGAUUCAUGGAAGAAACAUCGGUACAUCGCUCGGCCCCAUCUUGGGAUGACGUUUGAGGCCAUCAAGCUUCUAGAGCCUGCUCAUGUUGAUAUGUUAUGGCGUAUGUAUAACAUUGAUCAUGGUCUUAUUGUUCAAGAGGUGUCGAAAGGAUCUAAUGCUGAGAUACUCGGAAUCCAAAAAGGUGAUGUUAUUGAAUCUAUCAAUGGAAAACCUGUUUCUACCACAAUUGAGUUGGAGAAUAUGCUGAUGAGCACAUGCAAGGGCCUUGCUGAAGUUCAUAUUUCUGUUGGGGUGUUUCACACACUUAAAGAAGAACGAAGCACCGUAGAGUUGAGUGCAAAAUUAUCAAAACUUGGAGAAGUUAUUACAAGCUAG
rnacentral:rRNA from 1 species